rnacentral:tRNA from 1 species
CCCUGAUGGCUCAGAGGUUAAAGCGUCUGCCUGGAAUGCAGGAGACCCGGGUUCGAUCCCUGGAUCAGAGA